UAGAAGCAAAACCAAACACUUACCUUCUUUGCUUCCAAAAAAAAGAAAAAAGAAAAAAAAUCUCUCUUUCAUUUCUCUCUCUUUCCAAACAAUGGAGGCCAAUAAGGAUCAAGUACAAGAAUUCAUUUUCAGGUCCAAACUCCCUGAUAUCUAUAUCCCAAACCACCUCCCUUUACACACUUAUUGCUUCGAAAAGCUUUCCCAAUUCAAAGACAACCCUUGCUUGAUCAAUGGCCCUACCGGUGAUAUCUACACUUAUGCGGAUGUUGAGCUCACAUCACGCAAAGUUGCCUCUGGCCUCUACAAGUUAGGCCUCCAACAAGGCGAUGUUAUAUUGCUCUUGCUCCAAAACUCGCCAGAAUUUGUUUUUGCAUUUCUUGGCGCGUCAUUCAUUGGCGCUAUUAGCUCAACUGCAAACCCUUUUUAUACUUCAGCUGAGAUCGCAAAACAAGCAACAGCAUCAAAGGCAAAGCUGAUAAUAACACAAGCAGCUUACGCCGAGAAAGUGCAACAAUUUGCUCAAGAAAAUGAUCAUGUUAAGAUAAUGACCAUCGAUUCUCUUACAGAAAACUGCUUGCAUUUCUCAGAGUUGACAAGCUCUGAUGAGAAUGAAAUCCCUGCUGCCAAGAUUAAGCCUGAUGAUGUCGUGGCACUCCCUUAUUCGUCAGGGACUACAGGUCUCCCUAAAGGUGUCAUGUUGACUCAUAAAGGGCUUGUUACUAGUGUGGCACAACAAGUUGACGGAGAGAACCCUAAUCUCUAUUUUCACGAGAGGGAUGUGAUUCUUUGUGUGCUGCCUUUGUUCCACAUCUAUUCACUCAAUUCCGUAUUCCUUUGUGGGCUAAGAGCUGGUUCAGCAAUUUUGCUUAUGCAAAAAUUCGAGACGGUUACAUUAAUGGACCUUGUACAGAAAUAUAAGGUGACAAUUGCUCCACUCGUGCCCCCUAUCUUUCUGGCAAUUGCAAAAAGUCCAGUCGUUGAUCAGUAUGAUCUUUCUUCGAUCCGGACUGUAAUGUCUGGCGCAGCACCGAUGGGAAAGGAUCUUGAGGAUACAGUCAGGGCUAAGCUGCCUAAUGCUAAACUGGGACAGGGAUAUGGAAUGACAGAGGCAGGACCCGUGAUAGCAAUGUGCUUAGCCUUUGCAAAGGAACCCUUUGAGAUUAAAUCUGGCGCAUGUGGGACUGUUGUUAGAAAUGCAGAGAUGAAGAUUGUCGACCCGGAAACCGGUGACUCCCAGCCGCGAAAUAAAGCCGGCGAGAUUUGCAUUAGGGGCAGCCAAAUAAUGAAAGGUUAUCUAAAUGAUCCUGAGGCCACUGAAAGGACGAUAGACAAAGAUGGGUGGUUGCACACAGGUGAUAUUGGAUACAUUGACGAAGAUGAACUCUUUAUCGUGGAUCGUUUGAAAGAAUUGAUCAAAUACAAAGGUUUUCAAGUAGCACCUGCUGAGCUUGAAGCAAUGUUGAUUGCUCAUCCCAGCAUCUCUGAUGCUGCUGUCGUACCCAUGAAAGAUGAAGCUGCCGGAGAGGUUCCGGUUGCUUUUGUGGUGCGAUCAAAUGGUUCCAAGAUCACCGAGGACGAAAUCAAACAAUAUAUCUCAAAACAGGUGAUCUUUUAUAAGAGAAUUGGUCGGGUUUUCUUCACGGAGGCCAUCCCCAAAGCCCCAUCGGGAAAAAUCUUGAGAAAGGACCUCAGAGCAAGGGUUGCAGCUGGUGAUAUUCCACAUCAGAUUCCUAAUAUGACAUAUAUGCAAAACCAGCAUUAGUUUGAAGUUCAGAGGCAAAAUGGAUCUGAUGUGUUUUUCUUACCUUAGCGGCCUCCAAGAGGGUUUCAAAAGGUAGAGGAGAAUAUGUAAACUUGAAGAUUUAAUAGCCUUCAGUGUUCAGUUGUUGCUAUCGACUAAACCAUGAUGCUUGGUGAAUAGAAGAAUUAGCUUUGUAUUAAUUAAUGGAGGCUAGCGUUACAAAGUCAAACCACUCUUAUUAGCAAA